rnacentral:lncRNA from 1 species
GACGAGUGGAGACACGCUAGGAGUGAGGUGGCCCCAGUCAUUUCCUUUUCCUGAAUGGGUGUGCAGAUGAUGAGUUAGGAAUGUGCGAGCCUCUGCACCCCUUUGUCUGAAAAGCCUCGUGACACGCUCUGGCUCCAUAAACACAGCCAUUAUCCCUCAUGCCUUUUCCACAGUUGGGCGGUGCUGACGUGGAGAAGUCAAGGCACAGACAGGCUGACACUGAGAAAUGAGAGCAGUAUCUGAAACAAAGGCUCCGGAUGGCGUCAUGUUUCCACGUGGCUGGCCUGGAGACAGAUGGCACAUUGGCUGGGCGCUGCUUGGGAGAAGGGGACUUAUUCUGGGCUAAAGACAAAGCCCUGGCAUCCCCCGGGACAAGCUGACAGGCAGGAUGGCAGUGUGCCUCUCUCCGAGCAAGAUCUGAAGGAGAUCCGCCCAGAGGUGACCGGGCUCUCUCUCGCCAUGAUGUGAGUCACUGCCUGUCUUCUCUGCCCAGGCCUGAGAGUGGCCUGAUGGAGUCCGUAAAAGGAACACGUUCACCCAAAUGUGCGAUCUUGAAGUAUAGUGAACUGACACCCAAAGAUCAGAAUUUAGCAGUGGGUCCAGACAGCAGGACUGUCCAGAGAAGAAUGACCUUGAGUCAAGCAGGAGCAAGACGAUCUGUAUUUCUUCAUACUAGACUACCACAUUGAAAAGAAAAAG